rnacentral:rRNA from 1 species
UACGAAGGGGGCUAGCGUUGCUCGGAAUCACUGGGCGUAAAGCGCACGUAGGCGGAUGUGUCAGUCAGGGGUGAAAUCCCGGGGCUCAACCUCGGAACUGCCUUUGAUACAGCACGUCUCGAGUCCGGAAGAGGUGGGUGGAAUUCCUAGUGUAGAGGUGAAAUUCGUAGAUAUUAGGAAGAACACCGGUGGCGAAGGCGGCCCACUGGUCCGGUACUGACGCUGAGGUGCGAAAGCGUGGGGAGCGAACAGGA